rnacentral:rRNA from 1 species
CCUACGGGAGGCAGCAGUGGGGGAUAUUGCACAAUGGGGGGAAGCCUGAUGCAGCGACGCCGCGUGGGUGAAGAAGCGCCUCGGCGCGUAAAGCCCUUUCAGCAGGGACGAAGCUGACGGUACCUGAAGAAGAAGCCCCGGCUAACUACGUGCCAGCAGCCGCGGUAAUACGUAGGGGGCAAGCGUUAUCCGGAUUUACUGGGUGUAAAGGGGGCGCAGACGGCGAUGCAAGCAAGGAGUGAAAGCCCGGGGCCCAACCCCGGGACUGCUCUUGGAACUGCGUGGCUGGAGUGCUGGAGGGGCAGGCGGAAUUCCUGGUGUAGCGGUGAAAUGCGUAGAUAUCAGGAGGAACACCGGUGGCGAAGGCGGCCUGCUGGACUGCAACUGACGUUGAGGCGCGAAAGCGUGGGGAGCAAACAGGAUUAGAUACCCCUGUAGUC